rnacentral:rRNA from 1 species
ACGGAAGGCAGCAGUGGGGAAUAUUGCGCAAUGGGGGAAACCCUGACGCAGCAACGCCGCGUGAGUGACGAAGGCCUUCGGGUCGUAAAGCUCUGUCGGAGGGAAAGAAACUAUUCAUGGCUAAUAUCCAUGGAUAUUGACGGUACCCUCAAAGGAAGCACCGGCUAACUCCGUGCCAGCAGCCGCGGUAAUACGGAGGGUGCAAGCGUUGUUCGGAAUUACUGGGCGUAAAGCGCGUGUAGGUGGCUUGCUAUGUCAGGUGUGAAAGCCCUCGGCCUAACCGAGGAAGUGCGCCUGAAACUGGCUAGCUUGAGUACGAGAGAGGAGGACGGAAUUCCCAGUGUAGAGGUGAAAUUCGUAGAUAUUGGGAGGAACACCGGUGGCGAAAGCGGUUCUCUGGAUCGAUACUGACACUAAGACGCGAAAGCGUGGGGAUCAAACAGGAUUAGAUACCCUGGUA